rnacentral:lncRNA from 1 species
AACCAUGUUACUUCAGGUGCUAUUGUAUUGUGUGGCUGCCCACGAAAUAACUCCUUACCAUUAAUAGGAUUCUCUGAGUUGCCAUUUGGCCUAUAUAAACACAUUCAAAGAGGGACUACUAUCACAAGUCUCAGUUUAAAACAUUCAAAGGUUUUUUUUCUGCUUUUGAGGUCUUUAGUAGUUCUUCUUUUACUUCUUUGCUCUUAUACAUUAAAACUAAAAGAUCAUGGCAAUUCUUCGUAUAAUCAAGAAGUCUUCCACAAGUGGAGAUGUUCGUACAUUAAAACUAAAAGAUUAUGGCAAUUCUUCGUAUAAUCAAGAAGUCUUCCACACGUGGAGAUGUUCCCAAAGGCCAUUUUGCUGUGUAUGUUGGGGAGAAGCAGAAGAAGAGAUUUG